rnacentral:lncRNA from 1 species
UUUUUUUUUUUUUUUUUAUUGCUGCUGUUGAUGCUAAAAAGGACAUCUGGAAACUAGGGAUUAAAAGUUUUCAACUCCACAUGAGCUCAAGGUUAUAGCCCCAGACCUUAUGCAAGUAACUAAUCAAUUUUGCCAAGAUUCUCACAAAUAGAAUCUGCAAGAUCAAGACUGGUGUGUCAAGGGUCUCUUGUACAAAGAUAUAUUUUCAAAGCUACGGUCUUUUGGAAUUCUGUUUUCCUCUGUAGCCCACUAGGCCACUGGGAUAUACGGAAGCAGGAUUUCAAUAAAGACUAAGCUCUUAUUUUAUAUGCAGAAUCGGAACCAGAGAAGACCUGAAACUCCAUCAUGAGCAAGUGUUCAGGCAAGUUAUUUUAUGCAUCUCUCCUACACACAGACUAGAAACUAUAGCUCUAAAAUUGAUCCCACUGGGACCUGAAGCAAAACAUUUUCCAGGAUGAAUACAGUGCACUAAUUGCUCUCCCUCUAUACAUUUGUUCCCCAUCCUUUCCUGGUUGACCCCUUCUCUCCUUACCUCUGCCACUUGGUGAUCCCUCAAGAGAGGGAAAUUUGUUUCCUUUUUCUCUUAUAGAAUCAAAAGGAAAUACUCAUAAGAAACGUAUUGUCUGAAAUAAGAACUAAGAGGAUAAAGGGCACUUUCAAGAAAAGAAUUCCUUAAAAGCUAUUUCAUAUUUGACUAUGUUUUCAUUCACCAACUUGUACAAUGGAAUUCUUAAGAGAUCAGAAAAGGAAGCACCCCAAUUCCUUUACAGAAGACUAAUAAGGUCACUCAUCCUUUUGCCUCUUCUUCUUCUCCCUUGCUUAAGCCACCCUAAUAAAGAGGUGAAUUCCCCUCUCCUCUUUUUAUUUUCAUUGUGUGUAUGUCAAAGCCUCGGAUGCACAUUUUGUUAUUCUGGAGUCCUUAUUGGACAAAGAUAUUUGAGAUGUAAGGGGCAUGUUAAGAAACCAUUUAUCGUUUAUAUAACAGAGCUUUAAAAAGCCCAGGGUCAACACAGCAGUGUCUAUUUCACCAAAAGCCAAAAUUUUAAGUCAAGGGAAAAAGAGAAAUAGUGUUCUGAGGUUUAUUUACCGCAUACUGAUAAUCCAAAGAAAAACAAAAAUAGCAGAUUCUAAAUGCACUAUUACUGACUCUUCGAUGCAGAAAAAAAAGAAUUUUGAAUGUACAAAAUGAAAAAUCUUGAAAUUACAAUCCUUCAAAAUUCUUACUUGACAAUGUUUCUAGGUCCUGGCUUUAAUUUAGAAACAUCUCUGGAGCCAGAAUUUCCCUUUUCUAAAAUAGUAUAAGCAUCUUUAUCCUGGAAAUUUGGUUUCUAAACAUCUUGAUGAGGAUGAGGAUGAGAAUGAUUUCAAGAAUUUACUUUCAAAAACUUUUAUUUUGGGGAGCCUGGGUGGCUCAGUUUGUUGUUUGCCUUUGGCUUAGGUCAUGAUCCCAGGGUCUUAGGAUGGACCUCAUGUUGUCAGGCUCCCUGCUCUGCAGGAGCUUGCUUCUCUCUCUGUUCCUCCCUCUGCUUGUUCUCUCUCUCUCUCUCUCUCUCUCUUUCUCUCUCUUUCACCUGAAUAAAUAAAAUAUUUUUGGGGGGU